rnacentral:tRNA from 6 species
GGGUGAUUAGUUCAGCUGGGAGAGCACCUCCCUUACAAGGAGGGGGUCGGCGGUUCGAUCCCGUCAUCACCCACCA